rnacentral:lncRNA from 10 species
CUGGGCUCCUGCUGGGCCCUCUGCUGCCAGGACCAGGAGUGGGGGGAGUAUCUGGUUGGCAUGACUCUCUGGCUGGGCAGAGGUUCGGCCGUCGUUGUGGGUGCUGAGGUAGCCUAGGCAGGUGGGGAGUGGGUGAGAAUGGAACUCCCUGCUUUAUGAUUUUUCUCCUUCUUUCAUUUAACAAAUGUUCAUUGGCCCCCUGGGCCACUUCCUGUUCUGGGUGCUGGGCAGAGCAAGACAGAUGACACGCCUUUUGGGGAUACGGACAAGUCUCUGCACAUCUCUUUCUACUGCCACGUCACCUGGGGUCAUCCGUCCAUCUCAGUGUGCCACACUGCCCAGAUGAGGUCAGGCCCCUGUUAAUUGCCACCCCUGGAGUGACUUUGUGCCAUGACUUUGUGGGGCCAGGCUCCCUUUGUGGUUGUCAGUCCCAUGAGAGUUGGACUGUGGUUGACAGUUCAUGGCUGGGCCCCUCUACCUGGCACAGAGCAGACCCUCAAAGAGUGUUUGCCAAAGGAAAAGAUGAACCGAGGGAAGUGCGGUCACACUGGAGGGCCUUUGGAGACAGGAGAUAUGGGGGUCCCUGCUUUAGGUCCCUGGUGGUCCAGCAUGGCCUGACCCAGGGAGAGAAGCAUCCCCCAGCCCACUUCUGUCCAGAACACAGAGGGCCUCAUGAUGCAAAGAGGACUGAAGGGUUGACCUGGGAAGGGAUCAGACCUGGGACCCCUACUCCUUUCUCAUGAGGGUACACAUGAGGCCUGGGCAUGAGCACAUAGGAGAGGUCCCUCCCUUACCCUCCCUGGGCCCCCCACAUCUUCCUGGGGUGGGGCGGAAGCUGCAAUGAAGCGGGUGGAGAUGGUGCAACCCAUGAUCUGGGGGUGGACACUCUGUGACCUCCUUUAUCCCACACUGGCCAGGUUGGAAGACGUUUAUAUUUAUAUUGAUUUGUGUCACCCACGAUGACUUCACUUUCUGAAACAAAACUCAGAAAUACAUGCAGA